GUAGGUGGCAAGCGUUGUCCGGAUUAUUGGGCGUAAAGCGCGCGCAGGCGGUCGGGAAAGUCUGAUGUUAAAGCCCGGGGCUCAACCCCGGUACGCAUUGGAAACUGCCUGGCUUGAGUGCAGGAGAGGAAAGCGGUAUUCCACGUGUAGCGGUGAAAUGCGUAGAGAUGUGGAGGAACACCAGUGGCGAAGGCGGCUUUCUGGCCUGUAACUGACGCUGAGGCGCGAAAGCGUGGGGAGCAAACAGGGAUUAGAUACCCUGGUAGUCCACGCCGUAAACGAUGAGCGCUAGGUGUUGGGGGGGUUUCAAUACCCCUCAGUGCCGCAGCUAACGCAAUAAGCACUCCGCCUGGGAGUACGCUCGCAAGAGUG
rnacentral:rRNA from 1 species